UUCGGAUCGAAGUCUGCAACCCGACUUCGUGAAGCUGGAUUCGCUAGUAAUCGCGCAUCAGCCACGGCGCGGUGAAUACGUUCCCGGGCCUUGUACACACCGCCCGUCAAGCCAUGGGAGCCGGGGUACCUGAAGUACGUAACCGCAAGGAGCGUCCUAGGGUAAAACUGGUGACUGGGGCUAAGUCGUAACAAGGUAAC
rnacentral:rRNA from 1 species